UACGUAGGGGGUAAGCGUUGUCCGGAUUCAUUGGGCGUAAAGAGCGUGUAGGCGGCCAGGUAGGUCGGUUGUGAAAACUGGAGGCUCAACCUUCAGAGGUCGACCGAAACCAUCUGGCUAGAGUCCGGGAGAGGAGAGUGGAAUUCCUGGUGUAGCGGUGAAAUGCGCAGAUAUCAGGAAGAACACCCGUGGCGAAAGCGGCUCUCUGGAACGGUACUGACGCUGAGACGCGAAAGCGUGGGGAGCGAACAGG
rnacentral:rRNA from 1 species